rnacentral:rRNA from 1 species
UCCUACGGGAGGCAGCAAUGGGGAAUCUUGCACAAUGGAGGAAACUCUGAUGCAGCGAUGCCGCGUGAGUGAAGAAGGCCCUUGGGUUGUAAAGCUCUUUCGUCGGGGAAGAAAAUGACUGUACCCGAAUAAGAAGGUCCGGCUAACUUCGUGCCAGCAGCCGCGGUAAUACGAAGGGACCUAGCGUAGUUCGGAAUUACUGGGCUUAAAGAGUUCGUAGGUGGUUGAAAAAGUUAGUGGUGAAAUCCCAGAGCUUAACUCUGGAACUGCCAUUAAAACUUUUCAGCUAGAGUAUGAUAGAGGAAAGCAGAAUUUCUAGUGUAGAGGUGAAAUUCGUAGAUAUUAGAAAGAAUACCAAUUGCGAAGGCAGCUUUCUGGAUCAUUACUGACACUGAGGAACGAAAGCAUGGGCAGCGAAGAGGAUUAGAUACCCUCGUAGUCCAUGCCGUAAACGAUGUGUGUUAGACGUUGGAAA